CCUUUUGUAUAAUGGGUCAGCGACUUAUAUUCUGUAGCAAGGUUAACCGAAUAGGGGAGCCGAAGGGAAACCGAGUCUUAACUGGGCGUUAAGUUGCAGGGUAUAGACCCGAAACCCGGUGAUCUAGCCAUGGGCAGGUUGAAGGUUGGGUAACACUAACUGGAGGACCGAACCGACUAAUGUUGAAAAAUUAGCGGAUGACUUGUGGCUGGGGGUGAAAGGCCAAUCAAACCGGGAGAUAGCUGGUUCUCCCCGAAAGCUAUUUAGGUAGCGCCUCGUGAAUUCAUCUCCGGGGGUAGAGCACUGUUUCGGCAAGGGGGUCAUCCCGACUUACCAACCCGAUGCAAACUGCGAAUACCGGAGAAUGUUAUCACGGG
rnacentral:rRNA from 1 species